UUUGAGGUCAGCCUGGUCGA
rnacentral:misc_RNA from 1 species